ensembl:lncRNA
UUCCCACCCUCAGCCGGCUCAGCACCCCUCUCUUCUUGGUUCUCAUACUGAGCCCAGCCCACUGUGUACAUUUCAUCCCUAAGAUAUGGCGUGGAAUUUCAGAAACUUCCUCCUUCCUUUCUAUUCACGCCAAGUGCCCAGCUCCUCAUGGAAGCACUGUGCCAUCUCUCAGAAGUGACUGUCAGCCUCUCUGGAGCUCCCUCUGUGAAGGGAGGGUCCUCAAAUGCACCCUCUGCACAGGGGCACCCAUUCCUGUCUCGGUGUGGUAGCCGGCAGUCUGCAUGUGUGCAACCUUGGACCAGAAAGAUGGAGUGGAGAGGCGUCAUUGCGUGUUUGCACACUGUAGCCGGAACCCAGCGAAGGACAGCUGCGGCUUGAGGAGGUGCAGCAGUCUGCCCCCAGGGUCAUGGUGCCCGAGCGUUCAGAUGCACCCACUCCCCUGGACUACGUGCGCCGAUUUGGUCCCAGCAGGUGCGUGGCGCGUGGCGACUCACGCUUUGUUGGUGCAGAAUCCAGCGCCUGGACAUCGGCGCUCCAGUCUCGUGCUCCAGAGAUGCUGUCACGCUGGAGGCCCAGGCCCUGACGCGCUGGAACAGUGGCAACAGAGCCUGCCUCCAUCAGCACUUUGCUGUUUUACAGCCUUGCCCCCCUGAUAAACUGUGCAGAAGGUGAUGAUGGAACGUGGAAUGUCAGAUGUGGCCAUUUCUGCAGAUGUGGCCGUCCCUGCUUUAAAAUGUCAGUGACAGCACCAAUUUCAGGCCUAUAUUUUCUGUUGCUGGUAGCUUUUGCCUAUAUAGCUGAAAAAUAUUAAAAUCAAAGAUGAUGUAGGAAUGGGAUGGAAGGGAGGCGAUAAACACAACUUAUAGUUUAUAUUUUUGUAGUUUCUAUUGGAUGAAAAAAGUGUUUAAUAUCUGGACAGACUUGUUGAAUUUUUAAACACAGAUGCACUAUAAUGCAGCCUUUCGUACUAUUUCCUCAGUGCCUUUAGAAAGAGCUUUCAAUUU